rnacentral:rRNA from 1 species
UACGGAGGGUGCGAGCGUUGUUCGGAUUUAUUGGGCGUAAAGCGCGUGUAGGCGGUUUUAUAAGUCUGAUGUGAAAGCCCCGGGCUCAACCUGGGAAGUGCAUUGGAUACUGUAAGACUUGAAUACGGGAGAGGGCAGUGGAAUUCCUGGUGUAGGAGUGAAAUCCGUAGAUAUCAGGAGGAACACCGGUGGCGAAGGCGGCUGCCUGGACCGAUAUUGACGCUGAGACGCGAAAGCGUGGGUAGCAAACAGGAUUAGAACCCGUACCGUCC